rnacentral:snRNA from 13 species
AGCGAUGACUCAGGAUGGGAAGAGAGCAGACAGCAAGCAGCGCAUUCUGAGGCGUCAAGAAUAGUCGACGGAGAAGU